AAGACGGUCUUCGGAUUGUAAACCUCUGUUGCAGGGGAAGAAGGAAGUGACGGUACCCUGCGAGGAAGCCCCGGCAAACUACGUGCCAGCAGCCGCGGUAACACGUAGGGGGCGAGCGUUGUCCGGAAUUACUGGGCGUAAAGGGCGCGUAGGCUGCGAGGCAAGUCGGGUGUAAAAGGCACGGGCUCAACCCGUGUGUGCACUCGAAACUGUCUUGCUGGAGGGGUAGAGAGGCAAGCGGAAUUCCCGGUGUAGCGGUGAAAUGCGUAGAUAUCGGGAAGAACACCAGUGGCGAAGGCGGCUUGCUGGCUACACCCUGACGCUGAGGCGCGAAAGCCAGGGGAGCGAACCGGAUUAGAUACCCGGGUAGUCCUGGCAGUAAACGAUGAAUGCUAGGUGUGGGUGGGUCAAACCAUCCGUGCCGCAGUUAACGCGAUAAGCAUUCCGCCUGGGGAGUACGGCCGCAAGGUUGAAACUCAA
rnacentral:rRNA from 1 species